CUUGAGCGAGCCCAGCCACAGCGGCGCGCUCCGCCCCUGUCCGUACGUCGCGAGCAGCGCCCCCGCCUC
rnacentral:antisense_RNA from 1 species